GGAGAUGAGUCCAUCAAAAGGCCUCAGAGCAAGAGUCACUUUGUGUAUUUAUGACUUUUUCUUCUUAUUCUCACAAUUCAUGUGCCAUUCAUAAAUGUUCCAUAAGUGUUAAGUUUUGAUCUCAGUCAGUUAGGAGUGACCAACAGAAGCAACGGUUACACAUUUUCCAUGUUUUGGAUAUGCAGGACGAUAAAUUGAUUAAAGCUUUCUGGGAACUGGGAACCUUUCGGAUGGAUGGAUGAAAUCUGGCAUAAACAUUCAUGUUCCCCAAACAGUGAAUUAUGAACCUUUGGUGAUUCCUGACUUGUCCUCCAGUGCCAUAAUCAGCAGCGCCUGUCUGUGAAACAGAGAGCCCCCCUCUACCCUCUGUGGACGUCAACUGCAGUCACGUGACGCACAUAAAAAAGCUGCCUCACACAAGAGCCUUAUUAGGAAGCUUCCCAGCUCGAUAACAAGGAGGUCAAAACCUUUCCUUAAUUACAUCUGGACUUGAAAUCUCGGAAAGAUACAUUUUGCUUUCUCUUUGUAAAGUUAAACGGGCAGUGUGAUGAUUAUGUGCACAGUGUAUUAUGUACAAUUAUAAAUAAAAAGAAGUAUGAG